ACUAGCAUGAUCCCCCUCUAGGUUUCCACCAUAUCUUUUGAUCUAUCUUAUCUCUGGCUUGUAGCAUUAACUUUCAUACUUGAGAUCUACCAUUUCAUUCAACAAUUUGUGGCCUAUGUCUUUUGCAAUACUUGUUCCAUAGGAAAUUAGCCCAUAAAGACUUCUUGGUUCUGAAACUCCACCAAAGUUUGACAAAUAGUGUAUGUGAAACAUCAAACAUAGACCUAAACCCUAUCUCUUCUUCUCUGGGUUGACAAAUGUCUUCCCAAGCCACCC
rnacentral:lncRNA from 1 species